GGCGGCGUAGCUCAGAUGGUAGAGCAAGCGGCUCAUAUCCGCUCGGUCAGGGGUCCAAGUCCCUUCGCCGCUA
rnacentral:tRNA from 1 species